ensembl:snoRNA
CCCCCUCAGCCUUACUCCAGGGACUUCCGCUGUAAAGUGCCUGGCAUUGCUGGAGGGUACAUGAACGAGCACGCAUCCUUCCCUAGGGACACUGCUGUCCUGUGGGGCCUACACGUGGAGCUGACAGC